AAAUCAUGGUUUGGACUCCUAUCCAAAUAUUCUUUGUACCUCUCCCAAGCUUCAAAAAGUUGUUCCCCAUUACAUUGUUUGAACUCAUAAAUCUGAUCAUGAAUUU